rnacentral:rRNA from 1 species
GUGAACGCUGGCGGUAGGCCUAACACAUGCCAGUCGAACGGCAGCACAGUAAGAGCUUGCUCUUACGGGUGGCGAGUGGCGGACGGGUGAGGAAUACAUCGGAAUCUACUUUUUCGUGGGGGAUAACGUAGGGAAACUUACGCUAAUACCGCAUACGACCUACGGGUGAAAGCAGGGGAUCUUCGGACCUUGCGCGAUUGAAUGAGCCGAUGUCGGAUUAGCUAGUUGGCGGGGUAAAGGCCCACCAAGGCGACGAUCCGUAGCUGGUCUGAGAGGAUGAUCAGCCACACUGGAACUGAGACACGGUCCAGACUCCUACGGGAGGCAGCAGUGGGGAAUAUUGGACAAUGGGCGCAAGCCUGAUCCAUCCAUACCGCGUGGGUGAAGAAGGCCUUCGGGUUGUAAAGCCCUUUUGUUGGGAAAGAAAAGCAGCAGGUUAAUACCCCGCUGUUCUGACGGUACCCAAAGAAUAAGCACCGGCUAACUUCGUG